CGGACGGGUGAGUAACGCGUGGGUAACCUGCCUCACACUGGGGGAUAACAGUUAGAAAUAGCUGCUAAUACCGCAUAAGCGCACAGUUCCGCAUGGAACAGUGUGAAAAACUCCGGUGGUGUGAGAUGGACCCGCGUCUGAUUAGCCAGUUGGCGGGGUAACGGCCCACCAAAGCGACGAUCAGUAGCCGGCCUGAGAGGGUGAACGGCCACAUUGGGCUGAGACACGGCCCAA
rnacentral:rRNA from 1 species